rnacentral:rRNA from 1 species
UACAGAGGCUGCAAGCGUUAUUCGGAUUCACUGGGCGUAAAGGGUGCGCAGGUGGCCAAGUGUGUUAGGCGUGAAAGCCCGGGGCUUAACCCCGGAAUUGCACCUGAAACUACUUGGCUAGAGCAUUGGAGAGGGGAGCAGAAUUCAUGGUGUAGCAGUGAAAUGCGUAGAUAUCAUGAGGAAUACCAGAGGCGAAGGCGGCUCCCUGGACAAUUGCUGACACUCAGGCACGAAAGCGUGGGGAGCAAAAGGG